UACGUAGGGAGCGAGCGUUGUCCGGAUUUAUUGGGCGUAAAGAGCUUGUAGGCGGUUCAGCAAGUCGGGUGUGAAAACUCUGGGCUCAACCCAGAGACGCCACCCGAUACUGCUGUGACUAGAGUCUGGUAGGGGAUCGCGGAAUCUCAGGUGUAGCGGUGAAAUGCACAGAUAUCUGAGGGAACACCAGCAGCGAAGGCGGCGAUCUGGGCCAGUACUGACGCUGAGAAGCGAAAGCGUGGGGAGCGAACAGG
rnacentral:rRNA from 1 species